GAUGAACGCUGGCGGCGUGCCUAACACAUGCAAGUCGAACGGAAAGGCUCCUGCUUGCAGGGGUACUCGAGUGGCGAACGGGUGAGUAACACGUGGGUGAUCUGCCCUGCACUUCGGGAUAAGCCUGGGAAACUGGGUCUAAUACCGGAUAGGACCACAUUUUCGAUGGUGUGGUGGAAAGUUUUUCGGUGUGGGAGGAGCUCGCGGCCGAUCAGCUUGUUGGUGGGGUAAUGGCCUACCAAGGCGUCGACGGGUAGCCGGCCCGCGAGAGUGUAGGGACACAUUAGAACCGAGAGGCAGGCCAGACUCGUGCGGGGGGGAGCAGUGGGGAAAGUUGGACAAAGGGAGAAAGCCUGAGGCAGGAAGGCCGCGGGGGGGUAAACGGCCUUCGGGUGGUAAGAACCUCUGGCUAGGGACGAAGCGUUUUUGUGACGGUACCUAAAGAAGAAGCACCGGCUAACUACGUG
rnacentral:rRNA from 1 species